GAUGAACGCUAGCGAUAGGCUUAACACAUGCAAGUCGAGGGGCAGCACAAGGUAGCUUGCUAUCUGGGUGGCGACCGGCGCACGGGUGCGUAACGCGUAUGCAACUUGCCCUAUACAGGAGGAUAACCCGUCGAAAGACGGACUAAUACUGCGUAUGCUCACAACUUGACAUCAAGUGGUGAGGAAAGAAAUUCGGUAUAGGAUAGGCAUGCGUCCCAUUAGCUUGUUGGUGAGGUAACGGCUCACCAAGGCAACGAUGGGUAGGGGAACUGAGAGGUUUAUCCCCCACACUGGUACUGAGACACGGACCAGACUCCUACGGGAGGCAGCAGUGAGGAAUAUUGGUCAAUGGGCGCGAGCCUGAACCAGCCAAGUCGCGUGAAGGAUGACUGUCUUAUGGAUUGUAAACUUCUUUUAGACGGGAAUAACAAGAGUCACGUGUGACUCCCUGCAUGUACCGUAUGAAUAAGCAUCGGCUAACUCCGUG
rnacentral:rRNA from 1 species